GCGCCCGUAAGCUCAAUCGGUAGAGCGGUGGAACGGUGAUCCACAGACCCGGGUUCACGUCCCGACGGUCGCU